CCUACGGGCGGCAGCAGUGGGGAAUAUUGGACAAUGGGGGGAACCCUGAUCCAGCCAUGCCGCGUGUGUGAAGAAGGCCCUCGGGUUGUAAAGCACUUUCAGUGAGGAAGAACGCCUGGUGGUUAAUACCCAUCAGGAAAGACAUCACUCACAGAAGAAGCACCGGCUAACUCCGUGCCAGCAGCCGCGGUAAUACGGAGGGUGCGAGCGUUAAUCGGAAUUACUGGGCGUAAAGCGCGCGUAGGUGGCUUGAUAAGCCGGUUGUGAAAGCCCCGGGCUCAACCUGGGAACGGCAUCCGGAACUGUCAAGCUAGAGUGCAGGAGAGGAAGGUAGAAUUCCCGGUGUAGCGGUGGAAUGCGUAGAGAUCGGGAGGAAUACCAGUGGCGAAGGCGGCCUUCUGGACUGACACUGACACUGAGGUGCGAAAGCGUGGGUAGCAAACAGGAUUAGAUACCCCAGUAGUC
rnacentral:rRNA from 1 species